GACGAACGCUGGCGGCGUGCUUAACACAUGCAAGUCGAACGGUAAGGCCCUUCGGGGUACACGAGUGGCGAACGGGUGAGUAACACGUGGGUGAUCUGCCCUGCACUUCGGGAUAAGCCUGGGAAACUGGGUCUAAUACCGGAUAGGACUCCGGACUGCAUGGUCUGGGGUGGAAAGCUUUUGCGGGGUGGGAUGGGCCCGCGGCCUAUCAGCUUGUUGGUGGGGUGAUGGCCUACCAAGGCGACGACGGGUAGCCGGCCUGAGAGGGUGACCGGGCACACUGGGACUGGGAGAAGGCCCAGACUCCUACGGGAGGCAGCAGUGGGGAAUAUUGCACAAUGGGCGCAAGCCUGAUGCAGCGACGCCGCGUGAGGGAUGACGGCCUUCGGGUUGUAAACCUCUUUCAGCAUCGACGAAGCGAAAGUGACGGUAGGUGCAGAAGAAGGACCGGCCAACUACGUGCCAGCCGCCGCGGUAA
rnacentral:rRNA from 1 species